GAUCUGAAACAGGUGGGGAGACACAUACCACCUGGGUGAGCAGGACAGACAAGCCCCCGGCAGAAACCUGCCCUGAAUGCUGCCUGAAAUUCCACCAUCAGAGAUCAGACCCCUCCCCUCUGGAAACGAGAGCUCUCCUACGUGGCCCAGAAGUUGCUAGAAGUCAGGACUGCGAUGUCAGCACAGGCAGGAGGCCAUCUGGAGGUGGCAGCCAGAGGCAAUGACCUGGCCAGGAAUUUCUGGAGGAAGAUUCCCAACAGCCAAACAAAGGUGGAGAUGAGACUCUGGCCUGCUGACCCCCUCUGACCGACCGACGCACAACCAGCUGAGGUUUGCAGUGGGCACCAGCCGGGCCAGGGAUUCUAGGAGGGACUACACUCAACCUAGAGCACUGGGCUGUGGACUGCUGACCACCCGCCCAGCACACACCUGGUUAGGACUUGCGGGGGCCACAGAACCACUAGGCAGAAGACUCUAAGCAAUUCCUGGGGUUCCUGGAAGAGACCCCGCAAAUCGCAGCGAGGAACAGGGCCUGGGCCUUCUGACCACCCAGUCCAGCGCACACCCUUUUGGCGGUACCCCCAAGCACAGGCAGAGGACCCCGCAUAAGCUUCCGGGGUGAGCUCUGACCCCACCGGCUACUCCAGUGGUCCAAGCGGCAGCGCCCCCAAACCGACCCGGCCCUCACCUUGAACGAACGGUGGAAGCCCUGAA